GAUUCUUCGGAUGAUUUUCAGUUGACUGAGCGGCGGACGGGUGAGUAACGCGUGGGUGACCUGCCCCAUACCGGGGGAUAACAGCUGGAAACGGCUGCUAAUACCGCAUAAGCGCACAGAGCUGCAUGGCUCGGUGUGAAAAACUCCGGUGGUAUGGGAUGGGCCCGCGUCUGAUUAGGCAGUUGGCGGGGUAACGGCCCACCAAACCGACGAUCAGUAGCCGGCCUGAGAGGGCGACCGGCCACAUUGGGACUGAGACACGGCCCAAACUCCUACGGGAGGCAGCAGUGGGGAAUAUUGCACAAUGGGGGAAACCCUGAUGCAGCGACGCCGCGUGAGCGAAGAAGUAUUUCGGUAUGUAAAGCUCUAUCAGCAGGGAAGAUGAUGACGGUACCUGACUAAGAAGCCCCGGCUAACUACGUGCCAGCAGCCGCGGUAAUACGUAGGGGGCAAGCGUUAUCCGGAUUUACUGGGUGUAAAGGGAGCGUAGACGGCGAAGCAAGUCUGGUGUGAAAACCCGGGGCUCAACCCCGGGCCUGCAUUGGAAACUGUUUUGCUUGAGUGCCGGAGAGGUAAGCGGAAUUCCUAGUGUAGCGGUGAAAUGCGUAGAUAUUAGGAGGAACACCAGUGGCGAAGGC
rnacentral:rRNA from 1 species